CCUACGGGUGGCAGCAGUGGGGAAUAUUGGGCAAUGGGCGCAAGCCUGACCCAGCAACGCCGCGUGAAGGAAGAAGGCUUUCGGGUUGUAAACUUCUUUUGUCAGGGACGAAGCAAGUGACGGUACCUGACGAAUAAGCCACGGCUAACUACGUGCCAGCAGCCGCGGUAAUACGUAGGUGGCAAGCGUUAUCCGGAUUUAUUGGGUGUAAAGGGCGUGUAGGCGGGAAUGCAAGUCAGAUGUGAAAACUAUGGGCUCAACCCAUAGCCUGCAGUUGAAACUGUAUUUCUUGAGUGCUGGAGAGGCAAGCGGAAUGCCGGGUGUAGCGGUGAAAUGCGUAGAUAUACGGAGGAACACCGGUGGCGAAGGCGACUAUCUGGCACAUAACUGACGCUGAGGAGCGAAAGCGUGGGUAGCAAACAGGAUUAGAUACCCGGGUAGUC
rnacentral:rRNA from 1 species